AAGUUAGGUUUUUAUGAAAAAGUUAGUUUUGGUAUAAGUUAGGUUUUUUCGAAAAAGUUAGUUUUGGUAUAAGUUAGGUUUUUAUGAAAAAGUUAGGUUUUUUCGAAAAAGUUAGUUUUGGUAAAAGUUAGGUUUUUUCGAAAAAGUAAGGUUUUUUAGAAAAAGUUAGUUUUGGUAUAAGUUAGGUUUUUUCGAAGAAGUU